GAAAAAAAAUAUUUGUUUGGUGAGCCACGCUCCCGUCCGGAUCCGCGGGGGAGGACGGCGAUUUCGUCCCCAGCCUCACGAGGUCGGGAAGGGGUUCCCGCACCCACAUUUGUGAACCUCGCCGCCGCCCGUCCCCUGCCUUCACGAACCCGUCGCCGCCCGUCCCCUACUCUUCCUCGUGCACCCACCGUCGCUCGUCCCCUCGUCUUCCUUGCGCUCUCGCCGUCGCCGCCUCCUCACCCUCACGCACUUGAGGCCAGCUGCGGAACGAGGUCGGACGGCGGAGACGAGGUCGAGGUCUGUGACCUCCUCAACUUGCGCAAGACUGCCGAGACUGCAGGGACAAGCUCUUUGCUGCCUCGUCAGCUGCUUCUCGGAUACUAACAAAUGGGUUCUAUAAUUGAGUUGAUAAGGAAACAUUUGAAGCAGUUCAGUAAUGUCUUCUCUUUAUUACAGAUGUGCUGAUCCAAUUCAGUUUUCAGGGUGAUACACAAGGGAUUUUCAUCAACAAGUGGCCGCCAGAAGAACUGAAACAUCAAGAUGGCGUUUGCUUUUAGGUCAUGCCAUUCAGGAGUACACUGAGACUGUUUUAUUAUGAGACUAUGUUUUAUUAUGAUGCACUGAGACUAUGUUUGUGUACACUGAGACUAUGUUUUAUUAUGAUGCACUGAGACUGUUUUAUUAAGCAGUGUGGAGUUCUCAGCUGCUGUUCUCAUUUUUAAUGCAAGUGUGUUCAAUGAGCAGUGUUCAAUG
rnacentral:misc_RNA from 1 species